UGGGUGGUUUCUAGUGAACGGAAAGGCCAUUUAUGAACCCACUUGUCUUUGUUGGCUGCAAACCUGAAAGUGGAGCCCAUUGGGGCACAGAAACACUAACGGAGGUCUCUGCCCUCGGAACCCACAGGCAAAGAAGAGGAAAUACUAUAGAUGUGAUGGAGCUGAGUGUUUAAUUAUUUAAAUAUUUAUUAAACCACACUUCCACAUAAAGUAUCAUAGGGAAGGAUAGAGGUUUUAAAACCACAGUACGACUAUCAAAACAUUACAUGCAUCAAACAACUGGCAAAUAAUCUCAGGCUCGGAACGCCUGUCUGAAUAAUGCGGUUUUUAGAAGAUGUCUGAAAUGUGGGAAUUAGAUUCUAGUUCCCAUAAGUAUCACCUGCCUGUCUUGUAUGUUUAAUCUAACAAGUGCAAGUAUGCCUAGGAAAAGUUAUCUGUUAUUUAAACUUUAAAAGAAGAGUGUCUUGCAUAAUUUUUAUAGGAGGGAAAAGGGAACUAAUUACAGGGUUCCUUUUGCUUACUUCUGUAAAUGGGAACUGGAAUCUUAAUUCCCACAUUUAAGAUGAUGUCUAAAAGCACGCUGCAACGGCUCCACUAUUGGCCGGGAGUUCCACAGGGCAGGGGCUGCCACAGCAAAGGCUUGAGCCCUGGUAGAGGCCAGCCAAACCUCAGGGGGAUGUGGGGAACCAUCAGGAGUGCCCCAUCAGAUGGCCCCAGCUAUCAAGGAAGAGCAGAGAGAAUCAGGCAACCCUUAAGAUACUAUAGGUAUCCUUAAGGUUAAUGUCCUUGCAACUUUGGGCGUUAAUACAAUAAACCUGAACCUGAGGUUAUGGAAUUUGCUUCCCAGUGAGGACGCUCUCCAUAAUGCCUGCAUUUUCUCUUGAAGUUAAGCAGAGACGUGAUGGUCACCUUUGGGGAAUGCUGUAGUCACAGGUUUCAUGCAUGAGCAGGGAGGGGCAUGGACUAGAUGACUCUUGGGGCACCUCACAGCUAUGGUUU